GAUGAACGCUGGCGGCGUGCUUAACACAUGCAAGUCGAGCGAAGCACUUUUGCAGAUUUCUUCGGAUUGAAGCAACUGUGACUGAGCGGCGGACGGGUGAGUAACGCGUGGGUAACCUGCCUCAUACAGGGGGAUAACAGUUGGAAACGGCUGCUAAUACCGCAUAAGCGCACAGUACCGCAUGGUACCGUGUGAAACACUCCGGUGGUACUGAGAUGGACCCGCGUCUGAUUAGGUAGUUGGUGGGGUAACGGCCUACCAAGCCGACGAUCAGUAGCCGACCUGUGAGGGUGACCGGCCACAUUGGGACUGAAACACGGCCCAAAAUCCUACGGGAGGCAGCAGUGGGCAAUAUUGCACAAUGGGGGAAACCCUGAUGCAGCGACGCCGCGUGAGCGAUGAAGUAUUUCGGUAUGUAAAGCUCUAUCAGCAGGGAAGAAAAUGACGGUACCUGACUAAGAAGCCCCGGCUAACUACGUGCCAGCCGCCGCCGUAAAAC
rnacentral:rRNA from 1 species